UUUCGGAGCAACAUCCCCUGUCACCUGGUUGAUAUCUCUUGCGGAUUACCCUGCAGUGCCACGCUACCAUGUGGGAUGCACAAAUGUCAGAGACUCUGUCACAAAGGGGAGUGUCUUGUGGAUGAGCCCUGCAAGCAGCCCUGCACCACCCCCAGAGCUGACUGUGGUCACCCGUGUAUGGCACCCUGCCAUACCAGCUCACCCUGCCCUGUGACUGCUUGUAAAGCUAAGGUAGAGCUACAGUGUGAAUGUGGACGAAGAAAAGAGAUGGUGAUUUGCUCUGAAGCAUCUAGUACUUAUCAAAG
rnacentral:circRNA from 1 species